rnacentral:rRNA from 1 species
UACAGAGGUCCCGAGCGUUGUUCGGAUUCACUGGGCGUAAAGGGUGCGUAGGUGGUGAGGUAAGUCGGAUGUGAAAUCUCCGGGCUCAACCCGGAAAUGGCAUUGGAAACUACCUUGCUGGAGGAUUUGAGGGGGGAUUGGAAUACUUGGUGUAGCAGUGAAAUGCGUAGAUAUCAAGUGGAACACCAGUGGCGAAGGCGAAUCCCUGGACAUUUCCUGACGCUGAGGCACGAAAGCCAGGGGAGCAAACGGG